rnacentral:piRNA from 1 species
UGGCAUGAAUCAAACACAAGGAGACGUGCA